ACCUGGUUUCAUCACUGAGCAGGCGGAGCCGAGCCUGACUCGUAGUGGUGCUUGUAUCAGCUAGGGUGUGCUCUGAACCCCUGCCUGGCCUGUACCCCUCACCUGCCCAGGUCCCCACAGUGGCAGCUCCACUGUCACCAUGAUGCAUGGUGGAGAGCAUAGCCACUGCUUCCUGCCAGCAGACAGAAGCACUCUGUGGGCUGUGGGCCACGUAUAAUGCCAGUUGCAGUAGUAAAGUGGUAACAACAGGUCACUGACUGGUGUUGGAGCAGGAGACUGGCAUCAUGUACAGGUCCCGGGAUAUAUUUCAGGAAGGAAAGAUUUGGUACACCGAGGACCUCUGAAAUAAGAGAGAUCAUCAAGAGCUCAGGGGAUGCGAAUACUGGGGACAUUCCAGCUCCUCAAUCAUCAUUUGAGAUGUUUGUCUCAAGAGCACAAAGUCAUCAAGGCUUUCUCAUGCUCUCUAGAGAGCUGUCUUUUAUUUUCCUUUGUAAACCUUUUUCACCUUUUA